AAUGAACGCUGGCGGCGUGCCUAACACAUGCAAGUCGAGCGAGAAAGUGGCUUCGGCCAUGAGUACAGCGGCGAACGGGUGAGUAACACGUGGGUGACCUGCCCUCAGCUCUGGGAUAAGCCUGGGAAACUGGGUCUAAUACCGGAUAUGACUCCAUGACGCAUGUCGUGGGUGGAAAGCCUUGUGCGGCUGGGGAGUGGGCCCGCGGCCUAUCAGCNGUUGGUGGGGUGAUGGCCUACCAAGGCGACGACGGGUAGCCGGCCUGAGAGGGCGACCGGCCACACUGGGACUGAGACACGGCCCAGACUCCUACGGGAGGCAGCAGUGGGGAAUCUUGCGCAAUGGGACGAAAGCCUGACGCAGCGACGCCGCGUGA
rnacentral:rRNA from 1 species